AACGCGAAGAACCUUACCAAAUCUUGACAUCCCGAUGACAGACUGUGUAAAGCAGUUUCUCUUCGGAGCAUUGGUGACAGGUGGUGCAUGGUUGUCGUCAGCUCGUGUCGUGAGAUGUUGGGUUAAGUCCCGCAACGAGCGCAACCCUUGUCUUUAGUAGCCAGCAUUUAGGAUGGGCACUCUAGAGAGACUGCCAGGGAUAACCUGGAGGAAGGUGGGGAUGACGUCAAAUCAUCAUGCCCCUUAUGAUUUGGGCUACACACGUGCUACAAUGGCGUAAACAAAGAGAAGCAAAGGAGUGAUCCGGAGCAAAUCUCAAAAAUAACGUCUCAGUUCGGAUUGUAGUCUGCAACUCGACUACAUGAAGCUGGAAUCGCUAGUAAUCGCGAAUCAGAAUGUCGCGGUGAAUACGUUCCCGGGUCUUGUACACACGC
rnacentral:rRNA from 1 species